GACGUAGGGCGCGAGCGUUGUCCGGAUUCAUUGGGCGUAAAGAGCUCGUAGGCGGUUCGAUAAGUCGGGUGUGAAACCUCCAGGCUCAACCUGGAGACGCCACCCGAUACUGUCGUGACUAGAGUCCAGUAGGGGAGCGGUGGAAUUCCUGGUGUAGCGGUGAAAUGCGCAGAUAUCAGGAGGAACACCGAUGGCGAAGGCAGGUCUCUGGGCCACUACUGACGCUGAGAAGCGGAAAGCAUGGGGGAGCGAACAGG
rnacentral:rRNA from 1 species